AACGCGAAGAACCUUACGCUGAGGCGCGAAAGCGUGGGGAGCAAACAGGAUUAGAUACCCUGGUAGUCCACGCCGUAAACGAUGGAUACUAGGUGUGAUGCUGACUGACCUUCUCCGUUGAGGCAGUUAACACAAUAAGUAUCCCACCUGGGGAGUACGAUCGCAAGGUUGAAACUCAAAGGAAUUGACGAGGGCCCGCACUAGCGUUGGAGUAUGUGGUUUAAUUCGAAGCAACGCGAAGAACCUUACCAGGGCUUGACAUCCGACUAACGAAGCAGAGAUGCAUUAGGUGCCCUUCGGGGAAAGUCUAGACAGGUGGUGCAUGGUUGUCGUCAGCUCGUUUCGUGAGAUGUUGGGUUAAGUCCCGCAACGAGCGCAACCCUUAUUGUUAGUUGCUACUCAAGAGCACUCUAGCGAGAGGGUCUUGUACACACGC
rnacentral:rRNA from 1 species